GUAAAAUCCCGGAAUAGGUGGUAACCGGGAGGAGGCAAUGGCAAGAUGGCGUCCCUGGAUCGGGUAAAGGUACUGGUGUUGGGAGACUCAGGUGUCGGAAAAUCUUCACUAGUUCAUCUUCUUUGCCAGAAUCAAGUGCUGGGAAAUCCAUCAUGGACUGUGGGCUGCUCAGUGGAUGUCAGAGUUCAUGACUACAAAGAAGGAACCCCAGAAGAAAAGACCUAUUAUAUAGAAUUAUGGGAUGUUGGAGGCUCUGUGGGCAGUGCCAGCAGUGUGAAAAGCACAAGAACGGUGUUUUAUAACUCUGUAAAUGGUAUAAUUUUAGUCCAUGACUUAACAAAUAAAAAGUCAUCUCAAAACUUGUAUCGUUGGUCACUCGAAGUUCUCAAUCGGGACUCAAUGCCAACAGGAGUCUUGGUAAUGAAUGGGGAUUAUGAUCAGGAAAAGUUUGCUGAUAACCAAAUCCCACUGUUGGUAAUAGGAACUAAACUGGACCAGAUUCAUGAAACCAAGCGUCAUGAAGUUUUAACUAGAACUGCUUUCCUGGCUGAGGAUUUCAAUGCAGAAGAGAUUAAUUUGGAUUGCACAAAUCCACGGUACUUAGCUGCAGGAUCUUCCAACGCUGUCAAGCUCAGUAGGUUUUUUGAUAAGGUCAUAGAGAUGAGAUACUUUUUAAGAGACAGUAAUCAGAUUCCAGGCUUUCCUGAUAGGAAAAGGUUGUUGGGAGGAACAUUUAAGAAUCUUCAUUAUGACUGAAUUACACUCAUCCUUUGGAAUAAUAAGAAAGAAGACAGUGGCAGUUUUCACAGCUUUCCUCUGGCUGUCUUGAUUGCCUGAAUUAUAGUUUUGUAAGGAAAAUAUAUUUUCACUUCUGGGAAGAUGGUGGAGUGGUGAAAAACAGAGAAGGAGCCUCUCGAAGAUUUGAUGACACCACUAGAAUAUAACAUUGUGAGGACGAAAAGGAGGGAAGUGGGUCCUUCGGACCAGAAAAGAUCUAAAACGAGAAUUGAAGCCCCAUAGGGAGAAUAAAGAGAGAGACUUCAAUAAAAAAAAAGAGUUGGAAAGUGGCACUUUGUUUCUGAAUCCUGACUCACUGCAUGGGAGGGGCUGCUUGAACCUGCACACACAUGGUGACUACUGCUGAGCCUAGAGGCCCCCAAAGACAAACCCCACCAGUGAAACAGAGCAGUAGAUGCAUCAGACUGCAGUGACUCAUGAGUUAUUUGAGUUCAGAUGUCCCUCAAAAGAGGGUGAUCGCCCUGUAGCCAUUCUAGAGAAGGGCCAACUGAGCUCAAGACUCAACAGCAGCUGUGGACUGGCUCCAUCUAACGGCCCCUGUGAAGGUGAGGCAGACCCAUGUUCAAGUCAGCGGGAAGUUGGGAAGCCAAGUGCAAGCUGGUAGGAGGCACACUGACUGCUGCAAGCUGAACAAAUUGGGUUCCACCUUUACUCCGAGAAACCAGCCUCAACUUCAGUGGAACUACAGGUGUGGUCCAGGCUUCCUGCAAUUGUCUUGACCCCAUGGUAAAUCUGUAGCUGGCUUGCUAGGAUUAAUCAACGUGAAUCUGGACUCUGCCUACUUUAUCUACCAGUAACAGCAGAGAUGUACCUUGAAGUGGACUUGUUUUCCUUAUUUUUUUCUUGAUUUUGGUGUUUUCUUUUUUCUUGCUUGUUUGUUGCUUUUAUAUGAGUAUAAACAUUGUUUCUAGUUCUAUUCUUGUUUUUUCUUUCCACCUCUCUUUUCCCUCCUGUCUUCUUCGUGAGUUUCCUAAAGUUUGUAUAGUCUUUCUUUAUCAUACAGCCUUGUUUAUAGAAAUCUCUUUGUCUUUAGUUCUCUAUUUUUUUUCACGUAACUCUUCUUAAAUUUAAAUCACCAUAUUGAGGACUAUUUACUGUAUAAAAUUUUCUGGUGUGCUUUAGAUUGUGUUAUAUAACCACAAUUCUAGUUCAUGUGGUUAAAGGUGGCAAAUUUAUGGUUACUAGUUUGUCACAUUUUAGGCUCUGUUUGAUGCUGUUAUUAUUAUUGAUUGUAGUACUUUAGCCAAGGUGACCUAACUGUUCUGAA